GAAAUGCGAUAAGUAGUGUGAAUUGCAGAAUUCAGUGAAUCAUCGAAUCUUUGAACGCACAUUGCGCCCUUUGGUAUUCCUUAGGGCAUGCCUGUUCGAGCGUCAUCUAAACCUUCAAGCCCUGCUUGGUGUUGGGUGCCUGUCCCGCCUCCGCGCGCGGACUCACCUCAAAUCCAUUGGCGGCCCCCGCGUCGGCCACGAGCGCAGCAGAAACGCGAACUCGUGAGCCCGUCCGGGCGGCUCCCAGAAGCUACACCCACCCAGUUUGACCUCGGAUCAGGUAGGGAUACCCGCUGAACUUAUGC
rnacentral:misc_RNA from 1 species